rnacentral:rRNA from 1 species
AGUGGCGGACGGGUGAGUAACACGUAAGAAUUUGCCUUUAGGAGGGGGACAACAACUGGAAACGGUUGCUAAUACCCCAUAUGCUUUCGAGUGAAAUGGAUUUUUCCGCCUAAAGAGAAGCUUGCGGCUGAUUAGCUUGUUGGUGAGGUAAUGGCUCACCAAGGCGACGAUCAGUAUCUGGUUUGAGAGGAUGAUCGGACACACUGGAACUGAGACACGGUCCAGACUCCUACGGGAGGCAGCAGUGGGGAAUUUUCCGCAAUGGGCGAAAGCCUGACGGAGCAAUCUCGCGUGAGGGAUGACGGCCUAUGGGUUGUAAACCUCUUUUUUCAGGGAGGAACAAAAUGACGUGUACCUGAAGAAUAAGCAUCGGCUAACUCCGUGCCAGCAGCCGCGGUAAGACGGAGGAUGCAAGUGUUAUCCGGAAUCACUGGGCGUAAAGCGUCUGUAGGUGGUUUAAUAAGUCAACUGUUAAAUCUUGAGGCUCAACCUCAAAAUCGCAGUCGAAACUAUUAGACUAGAGUAUAGUAGGGGUAAAGGGAAUUUCCAGUGGAGCGGUGAAAUGCGUAGAGAUUGGAAAGAACACCGAUGGCGAAGGCACUUUACUGGGCUAUUACUAACACUCAGAGACGAAAGCUAGGGUAGCAAAUGGGAUUAGAUACCCCAGUAGUCCUAGCCGUAAACAAUGGAUACUAGAUGU